CUCCAUUUGAACCAGUGUCUCCAUCUGGGCCUCUGCUGCUUGUUUCCCGGUGGGAGGAAGGAAGGCUUAUUGCGGGAAAAAGGCACUGUGACGGGGAGUUGAAACUGGAUGGGAUAAAAAGCAAUCAUCCCGCAGAUUACAACUCCUGUAACCUUACAGGGCUCUGAGCAGAUGGAUGUCUGACUGAAUUCUCCCUGCACGUGGAGCCGGGGAAUGGUCCGUCCCCAGUGUGACUGCACCAUUGGGUGGCCAGCUCAGUUGAUAACUGGAUAGAAAAUCAGAGACCGAGAAGCUUCCAAAAUCACUGUCCCUUCUUAACCCUCUUGAACUCUGCAGUCCGUAUGGUGAAGCUAUUCCAGAUUGUUGUUCGAGAAUCACGGAGGCACAUUCACGAGCAAGAAUUCCAAACAAACAUCCCAUCAAGGUCU